CAAUGAGCGAGAGAACAAUAUAAAGAAUUAGUGAAGAGUGUUAUUGGGGAAAACCAUCUAUCACUUGUAUUUCUCACUUGCACACAGGGUUUUCUCUGUAAAUCCAUUUUUCUCCAACCCAUUUUAAAAUUGAAGAUCUCCAAGUGUUUGCACUUUAUGGAACUAAGCUAGCUAAGUUGUGAAGGUUAUUGUUAACCUUGAGUGUAAAUCGUCAAUUUGAGGUAGGUUUCCCUGCUAGAUUAGUCUCUUGGUUCUCUUAUUUGUACCACUUGUGAAUCAUGAAGUUCUUAAUUAAUUCCUUUUUGAUUAUGCAUAUCUUUAGAAAAUUAAAGAAUUUGUAUUGCUAAUUUGUUUACACAUCCUGUUAUAUGAUUCAAUUCUUCUUACAUGCAAUGGAUUUAGGAUUUAUUUUGUGAAAUUGGAGAUCUGGAUUAUAGUUCAUGUUCUUGGAAAAUUGAUGAAUUGGGUAUCUUCCAAUCAUCAUGAAGUCCUUUAAUAUCUGUUUGAUUUUUGAAAUCAUGGAAUUUCCCAUUAAUAAUUCGUGUUUGAAUGCCUUGUUUACAACCUUGCAAACCCUAAAAGGUAUGUGUUUGUUAUACUGAUAUUUUUAGAUCCGAUGGUUGGAUCGUUAUGAAAUUUUAGUAUGAAGUGCAUCAUUAAGUGAUCUAAGUACGAUACAAUUUUCAGAAGGAUCAGGUCACGUUUACAAUGGGAAAGGUUGCCCGAAAUAUUCCUGCAUUUUGCAAACUAAAAUCCUGGACAGCUCCAAGUAUUACUGUGUAUCUCACAAUCCGUUGAUCGAAUAUAGCUGAUUUUUGGAUAUGCUGUUUAUUAGGGUACAUGAUACUCGCUGUACAAGUUUUAAGAAAUUCCGAUCACUUUAGGUACCCCUAGACUUGGGAGAACUGGGACUGAAUUCUGCAGGUUGUUAGCACGACCAGCCAGCUUAUAUUGAGUGUAUAUUUUGAAUUAACCAUUGGAAUGCUGUGAUUUUUAGAUAUGUUUUAGUACCAUGAGUCAUCAAGCUACUGUAAAAAUUUCAAGACGAUCGGGUGAGAUUUGCUACUGUAAAAGCUUGAACGAAUUAAGACUGCAUUCUACAAAACGGGAAUCCUUUACUUCCCACCUAUCCUUCGUUAUCCCAUCCAGUGGUGAUUGGAUUGAUGAUUUGUUAAUUGGUCCUUAGUUUCCACUCAACUUGAAAGAUAUGCUGGCCAUUUCUUAGCUUAGGCAAGUGCCAUUUAGUUCAUUCCUUUAGUUUAUGAGGAUCGGAAAUAUUUGGUUUAACGUUGUUUUUCUUUGAAUUGUAGUUGAACUUUAGUCAUUAAAUAAACUUGAUUCUUAUCUGAAAUUGAUUGAGCUAUGGUCGUGACAAGGAUAUAACAUGCUGUGUUGUACUCUCCUUUGAGCUGUUGUUGGACGUAAUAGUAAAAGAGUUAUAUAAUGACUUCCAUCUGAUCUCCUUGUUGACUAGAAUAUAUUGCAUCUCUUAUAGCUCAUAUCUCAUGUCUUGUAUUUGGACUGGAGUUGUAAGUUUAAUAAUAUCAUUCAUUGACACCGAAAAUGACUUGUAUAGUGUUGGAAUUUUUGUAGCUUAUAGGUUGUUUGAAAUAGUUGCAAGACCAGACGACCAUGGAAUGAUUAGACCUAUUCACAAUGGUUGUAUAUAUUUGAUUAGUUACUCCAUAGACUCUGGGAUUUGUGUGACAGUGAAAUUGAAUCUUUAUGCCGUAUGUACUGUUUCACUGUGUAUUUAGAUGGCUCGACCACGUUCCGACUUAAGGGCGAGUUCGACUUGGUGAGUAUUUUAAAAAGGUAGAGUAAAUCAGUAACUAAAGUAACUUAAGAAAUAUCAUGAUGCUGCAUUAGUUUGUGUACGAAUUCUCCAACCUCGUUAUGAUUAAUCUAAUGGACGACUUAGGUGAAGUCUUAUUUUUUAUGCAUUAGGUUGACAGUAUACAUGACUACAUGGUACCUACACUUCAAUUAGGUAGGUACCAUGGAAUAGGAAUUGCUACUGUCCUGAAAAGUCAAGUACGGAUUGGUUGAUGAAUCAGCCAAGUUUUGAUGUUCUAAAUUUAAAUUAGGUAGACUCAUAUGCGAUGCUUAUAUUUAUGAGUUUUGUUUCUGUAAUACAAUUCAUGGGAAGUUUUCAUUUCACAUCUGUUCAUUUUGUAAACACAAUAUGGACUAACUUUUUGAACACUACCAUAAAUAAAUAUGUUUGAUUCACUUGCUUAGUCCACCUGUCGUGGUAAGGAGUUCUUCUCAAUGAUAUGAUAUAUGUACCUGUCGUGGAUGGAAUUAGAGUGUGUUAUCAAUAACAAAAACGGGUAUGGUGUAUAAGCUUGUGUUAUUGACCUGUAUUACCUAUAUUGACUUGUAUUGUAUUUUCUCAAGUGUAUAUAUGUAUAGUUAGGACUAGAUAUACAACACAGUGGUAGUCUGCUGUUGGUUUUGAGUGGCAGGUACAGGUACAAAUAUAAAUGCUCAUAUCUUGCAAGUGAUUGAUGGUUUAUAAGGUUGGUGAUAUAGUGUGCUAGGGAUAGUUGUUGCUAUGCAACUCGUACUAUCCAUACUAUCUAAUGUAAGAGUUGAUUGCUACCUUAAACAAGUAGUUCAUAUCAACUGGUAAGAGAUAAUUGCUACUAAUAAGGGUAGUUCAUAUUAUCUAUGUGACGAACUACGGUCGUGCUUGAUCCCUUCGAGCAACGGAGAGGGUACGUAGGAAGCCGCUAUGCGGUUCACAGCACAACUCUACAUGGUUGUUCAUAUCAUCUGGAAGUGUUGGUUGCUGUUUUGGCAGUUCAUACCAUACGUUCGGAGAUGAUUGCAACCCUGACAUCGGCAACUGGCCGUAUAAAAUAUUGGAAGUGGAAACUGGCCGUAUAAAAUAUUGGAAGUGGAAUAGUAGAAAUGGCAACUGGGAAUAGUAGAAAUGGCAACUGGCCAUGGAAGUAUUGGAAGUAAAUAUUGGAAGUGGCAACUGGCCAUGGGAAUAGUAGAGAUGGCAACUGGCCAUGGAAAUAUUGGAAGUGGCAACUGGCCAUGGGAAUAGUAGAGAUGGCAACUGGCCAUGGGAAUAUUGGAAGUGGCAACUGGCCAUGGGAAUAUCAUUGGGGUUGGCAACUGGCCAUAUAAGUCUAUUAUUCUAGUUUGGAUGAUUUGAAUCCGAGUUGCUCAGAAGAAUUUGAAGGUCCGAUUUACUUGAGUGGCGCAUCCGAGAGUCGGAGUUUGCUAAGCAGGCUGAAACCCGGUUCGCUAGAAGUCCAGAUUUUAUGAUCCGUCACAAUACGCACAUUUGGCUUCACUUUUUUAAUAAAAUAUUUAAGACCACUUUUUUAAUAAAAUAUUUUAGACCAUCCAUUUUAUCAACAAAUGUUAAACCUCGCAUGCUCCAUAUAAGAAUUUUUAAUAUCCAUUCAAACCAUCUAUUCCCAAAUUUACUGCAUCCUCAAAAAUUUCAGUAUCACCAUUCUUUUCUUCAUUAGAGUUUUCAAUUGUAUCUUGAGAAAGAUAUGAUAUUACAGAAGAAGAUAUUAUUACAAUAAGAUUGUUUUCCGGUACAUUGGAUAAUACAGGACAGAGGUAUAUAUACUCAGACAACCAUACAGACAGUCAAGUCAACUAUUCUUGACUAGACAUAUAUCCUAAUAUUCCCCCUCAAAAUGUACUGACAACAAGUAGCAGUUUGAAACCAAAAAAAAAACAAAACAAAAAAUGCUCAACAAGAGCCACCACAGAAAAGAAAAGAAA